UUGUUUGCCAUUCUAAGUUGUAUAAAAAAAAAGUUAUUAAAUAUAGAUGUAAUUUUGAUAGUUAUAACGUAUAAGGGAGUAGAGUUAUUGAAUUUUGCUGUAGUUUUGAUAGUUAUAACGUCAUAAGGGAGUAGAGUUAUUGAAUUUUGCUGUAGUUUUGAUAGUUAUAACGUCAUAAGAGAGUAGAGUUAUUGAAUUUUGCUGUAGUUUUGAUAGUUAUAACGUCAUAAGGGAGUAGAGUUAUUGAAUUUUGCUGUAGUUUUGAUAGUUAUAACGUCAUAAGGGAGUAGAGUUAUUGAAUUUUGCUGUAGUUUUGAUAGUUAUAACGUCAUAAAUUACUAAUUUUUUUUUUAAUUUUUAUAGCUACAACGUCAUAAGGAAAUCAAGCACAUUAUUAUAUAUUAAUUUGUGAGAAAGUUUCCUUAUAAUGAGAGGUACUACGUGCCAUUUCUCAUGUACCUAUACGAAUUGGAAUUGGAUUUCACCAUUCUCUCGAAGGUCGUGCGUAAGAUCCGUUUAGUACGAGUAGAUAGUUGCUACGAAAUUAUGUUCAAAUAAUUUCAUUGAAAUUUUUACAAGUUUAAUUUGUUUGGAAAACAAAUUUAAAUAAAUCAUUGAAGAUGCAAUGAAAGGUGAAACCGGUCAGAUUCCAUUUAUAAGCCAAUUAGUAAUUCUUUUUUUAUCUGAAAGAGUGUUUGGCGUUUGUUUUUGUCGAAAUAAAUCUUAAAUUAUAACAUUUUAAACGAUAAAUUAUGAAGUACUCAUACAAAAUUAGAACAUGUCGUCACAGAUCCCAGUAGUUACAAAAUAUUGUUUGGAAGCUUACAUCAUAUUGCUGUAUGUCAAGAAACAGAUGUCCAAUGAUGGCAUCAAAUAUAAGGUUGCCAGAAGUGAAUCAUGGAAAUGCGAUGAAGACAAAAGUUAUUAUUUAAUCUGUAUUCACGCCAACUUAUAUAGUUAGUAUGCAUAGAGAAACAGGUAGUAAAGGUAUGUAAAACUUGUAAUAGUUGGUGUUUUUUUUUUAAUGCUAUUUGGAAUGAAAAAUAAGCUCACGAUCCACCUGAUGAGAACUUAUAAAUAUUACUUAUAGAUAUCAACAGCACCAUAGAUUACUGCCUUGCAUUUUCCCAUUUAUUUGGGGUCGAUGCGGUAUUUCUUGUUCUUCUUCUUCGACAAUUUUUGGGAAACAGCUUUUUAAAUAUCACAGAAUAUAUUAUACGAUAAUGUAAAAUAAACUAUUAUAAUAAAUAUAUUAAUUUUAUUAUUGUAAUCAAUUAA